CGCAGUCUGCAACUCGACUGCGUGAAGGUGGAGUCGCUAGUAAUCGCGGAUCAGCAACGCCGCGGUGAAUGCGUUCCCGGGCCUUGUACACACCGCCCGUCAAGUCAUGAAAGUGGGCAGCACCCGAAGACGGUGGCCUAACCCUUGUGGGGGAGCCGUCUAAGGUGAGGCUCGUGAUUGGGACUAAGUCGUAACAAGGUACC
rnacentral:rRNA from 1 species